rnacentral:misc_RNA from 1 species
AGGUUCAACUUCCAAAAUUUCAGAGCUUGCACUGGUUGGUUGCUCCAUAUCUCUGCCAACUUCAAGCAUAUUUAAUUGGGAUUCCUUCUCAUGCAAAGAUUUCUCAAGAAUUUCUUCUCUGCGUGUUAAAUCAUCUACUUUACUUCUCUCAAUUUGCAAUAAUGCAUCCCUGCUUUGAGCUGUUUCCCGCAGAUCCUCCAAUUCAGA